rnacentral:rRNA from 1 species
AAUGGGGGAAACCCUGACGCAGCAACGCCGCGUGGGUGAUGAAGGCCUUCGGGUCGUAAAGCUCUGUCCUCAAGGAAGAUAAUGACGGUACUUGAGGAGGAAGCCCCGGCUAACUACGUGCCAGCAGCCGCGGUAAUACGUAGGGGGCUAGAGUUAUCCGGAAUUACUGGGCGUAAAGGGGUGGUAGGUGGUUUNUUAAGUCAGAAGUGAAANGCUACGGCUCAACCGUAGUAAGCUUUUGAAACUAAGAGACUUGAGUGCAGGAGAGGAGAGUAGAAUUCCUAGUGUAGCGGUGAAAUGCGUAGAUAUUAGGAGGAACACCGGUGGCGAAGGCGGCUCUCUGGACCGAUACUGACGCUGAGACGCGAAAGCGUGGGUAGCAAA